CCCACGAUCUCCACAGCAUCCGAGUCCUCCGUCUACGUCACCUGGAUACCACGCGCCAACGGCGGCUCCCCCAUCACUGCCUUUAAGGUGGAAUAUAAGCGCCUGGGCCGAAACAGCGACUGGUUGAUCGCCGCCGAUAGCAUUUCCCCUUCCAAGCUGUCCGUGGAGGUGCGAAACUUGGAGCCAGGAGAAAUGUAUAGGUUCCGCGUGAUCGCCGUGAACAACUACGGGGAGAGCCCGCGCAGCGCAGCCUCUCGCCCUUACCAAGUGGCCGGCUUCACCGGCCGCUUCUCCAACCGCCCCAUCGCGGGGCCGCACAUCGCGUACACCGAGGCCAUCAGCGACACUCAGAUCAUGCUGAAGUGGACGUAUAUAACGUCAAGCAACAACAACACCCCC